rnacentral:rRNA from 1 species
UGAUGCAGCAACGCCGCGUGAGCGAUGAAGGCCUUCGGGUUGUAAAGCUCUGUCUUUGCUGACGAAUAAAUGACGGUAAGCAAGGAGGAAGCCACGGCUAACUACGUGCCAGCASCCGCGGUAAUACGUAGGUGGCAAGCGUUGUCCGGAAUUACUGGGCGUAAAGAAUGCGUAGGCGGCUUUUUAAGUGGGAUGUGAAAUCCCUGGGCUCAACCCAGGAACUGCAUUCCAAACUGGAAGGCUAGAGUGCGGGAGAGGAAAUUGGUAUUCCCAGUGUAGCGGUGAAAUGYGUAGAGAUUGGGAGAACACCAGUAGCGAACGCGAAUUUCUGGAACGUAACUGACGCUGAGGCAUGAAAGCGUGGGGAGCANACAGGAUUAGAUACCCUGGUAGUCC